AGUAGUGACGGAAGAAACCACCGACGAAGGAGGUGCGAAUAUGCAGCUGCCAUUCGGCGGUUGGGGAAACGCGCUCGGUGGUGCCGAAGAAUUGCAGCCAGGGGAAAGGCCAGAAGUCCCUUUCGGAGGACCGAGCGAAGAUCCUCUGGAAGGAAUCUUCCGACGAAUGC
rnacentral:RNase_MRP_RNA from 1 species